rnacentral:tRNA from 1 species
GGUGGCUCAGUCGUAGAGUGCUUGCCUUGCAUGCAUGAGACCCUGGGUUCGAUUCCUCAGUACCA